rnacentral:miRNA from 1 species
UUUUGAAGAGUAAAUUCUAUGUUUCGAAUUUUCUCUUCAAAUCUUAGAAUUUACUCUUCGAAACAUAGAAUUUACUCUUCAAAA